UUAGGAAUUUUGCGCAUGGGGGAAACCCUGACGCAGCAACGCCGCGUGAGUGAUGAAGGCCUUCGGGUUGUAAAGCUCUUUUAGUGGGGACGAAAAAAAUGACGGUACCCGCAGAAAAAGCACCGGCUAACUCUGUGCCAGCAGCCGCGGUAAUACAGAGGGUGCAAGCGUUAUUCGGAAUUACUGGGCGUAAAGCGCAUGUAGGCGGUUCGGUAAGUUUAGUGUGAAAUCCCCCGGCUCAAUCGGGGAAGUGCACUGGAUACUGCCAGACUAGAGUAUUGGAGGGGAGAACGGAAUUCCUGGUGUAGAGGUGAAAUUCGUAGAUAUCAGGAGGAACAACGGUGGCGAAGGCGGUUCUCUGGACAAUAACUGACGCUGAGAUGCGAAAGCGUGGGGAGCAAACAGG
rnacentral:rRNA from 1 species